rnacentral:misc_RNA from 1 species
GUUGAGAUAAACAUUUGAAUACGCAAUGACGCACACAUAAUUUGGCAAAGAACAAAAGAAUUAGAAAAAUAAACAUGAAGAACAAAACAAGUUCUUAAUAACCAACAAUGGUAAAGUUGGUUAAAACUUACAAAUUUAAUUCAUCUUGCAAGAAUACUUCCUUAUGACAGGCUAUGUAUACUAUAAACAAUCACAGAAAAUUUGC